rnacentral:rRNA from 1 species
GACGAACGCUGGCGGCGUGCUUAACACAUGCAAGUCGAACGGAAAGGCCCUGCUUUUGUGGGGUGCUCGAGUGGCGAACGGGUGUGUAACACGUGAGUAACCUGCCCUUGACUUUGGGAUAACUUCAGGAAACUGGGGCUAAUACCGGAUAGGAGCUCCUGCUGCAUGGUGGGGGUUGGAAAGUUUCGGCGGUUGGGGAUGGACUCGCGGCUUAUCAGCUUGUUGGUGGGGUAGUGGCUUACCAAGGCUUUGACGGGUAGCCGGCCUGAGAGGGUGACCGGCCACAUUGGGACUGAGAUACGGCCCAGACUCCUACGGGAGGCAGCAGGGGGGAAUAUUGCACAAUGGGCGGAAGCCGGAGGCAGCAACGCCGCGUGCGGGAUGACGGCCUUCGGGUUGUAAACCGCUUUCGCCUGUGACGAAGCGUGAGUGACGGUAAUGGGUAAAGAAGCACCGGCUAACUACGUG